rnacentral:rRNA from 1 species
AUGCGGAUCCGCAGGGCCGCCUCCCUCCUGCUCGGCGUCACCCCCUCCGCCUCCUCCUCCUCCCAGCCGCCCCGACCCAAUCUGCCCCCGCUCCCAUCAGCCGACGCCGGCGGCCCGCCGCCCUGCGUGACGAACAUGGCGGUAGCGGACCUGAUGGACCAACUCGGCAUCCAAGAUCCCGAGGAUGACAAGCACUUCAAGGAGACUUACUUCGGGGAUGGCCUUCCUAGCCUUCCCAGACACCACCCCUGGGGAUCUAGGUGCCCUUUCCCAGCCACCACCUGUGCCGACUCCACUGAGGAAAAUGAGGAGAUGGCCGUUGACAUGCUCGAUUACAUCAUCUUGGAACCAGGUAUCGUGGAGAAGAACUCUGAGAAAAACAAGAGCACCACAACGAAGGGCGAGGAAGAGAAAAACAAGACCAAGUUGAAGACAAAGGGGAAGGGGAAGGAGAAGGUGGAGGCAGAUGAGAGUGAUGAUGCCGGAGGAGGGUGGCCGUGCAAGAAGAACGAGAGCGAAAGGUGGUUCUGCGGGCGGCCUGCGAGCCAGCCCAACUCGUACUGCUCGCACCACUCUGAUCAAAAGCCUCGUACCAUCUCGAAGCCACCUCAGAGGAAGAGGGUCAUCGCCAACCAGGGCUUGGACCUAGGGUUCUGCUACUACGGCGGGUUCGGCCUAUCACGCAGCACCAAGAGGCACCACGGACCAAGCAGUGUGCAAGAACCUGUUGAACAUAAAGAGCAUACACCACUAGAUCACAUUGAUUUAAAUGCAGGUCUAGCAGGAGCUGAUGACAUAGAUCAUCAAGUCGCGUAG